UACGUAGGGUGCAAGCGUUGUCCGGAUUUAUUGGGCGUAAAGAGCUCGUAGGCGGUUUGUUACGUCGGAUGUGAAAUCCUGGAGCUUAACUCCGGGCCUGCAUUCGAUACGGGCAGACUCGAGUGUUGUAGGGGAGACUGGAACUCCUGGUGUAGCGGUGAAAUGCGCAGAUAUCAGGAAGAACACCGAUGGCGAAGGCAGGUCUCUGGGCAACUACUGACGCUGAGGAGCGAAAGCGUGGGGAGCAAACAGG
rnacentral:rRNA from 2 species